CUUGUAUGAAUUUGACCAUAAAAUUCUUUGAUGUAUGUAUUUUGUUUCGUCGCGCGGAGUGAUAUGAAUCGAGAGAAAUGGUUGUAAGGGGGUUGGCGGAACUGUGGAAUCAGCGUAAACAAACGUCAAAUGCAGUAAAGCAUCAGAGAAGAGCGUGUCUCCGAACCUCUCGCUGUUAAAAGGGUGGAUCACUGCAACACUUUUGAAGACACGGUGACGUCACUUCGGUGGAGGCCAUAGUCCUGCUAGAAACAAGCCAAACGUCGAUGUUUGGAAAAAUAAAUGAUGAAAGGCAUGUAUGUUUGAUGACAUUCCUCACCACAUUGUUAGGGUCACGAAGGAGAUGGAACAGCUGACUUCAGACGAGCUGAGGGAUGCCGGCACUAGACCAAUCGACUAUCAAUCACAGGACUUAUAGGGAAAGAGAGAUCCAUUCAUACAAGCUUUGUUUGCAAUGAAUAUAGCUUAACUACUUUUUUUGUAUUCUACAUCAAAUACAAUUUGAAGGAUUUAAUGGCGCUAAACUACAUGUUUAGCCAUUUUUCCUAACACAUAUACAACACAUACAGUCAUGUGAAAAAAUAGGACACCCCAUGGAAGCCUGCGUGUUUUCUAACAUAUUUGGUCUUAUAGAUUUUUAAUAUCAAUUCUAACAAUCUUGAGCGAUUCAAGUUGUGGAAAUGAACAAUUAAAACUGAAUUUUUUUUUUUUUUUUUUUAAUAACUAUGUAAAAUGUAAUUUUAAAUACAUUUCUGGUAGGAAUACAUCAGGACACCCCCACAUUCAAUCCCACUUAAAAUGGCUAAAAUCACACCGGUGUAUCACAUCAGGUGCACAUGAUAACAACAUCAUUACCCAGUGUUUUGAAGGGGGCUUGCCUUAUUUAAACCACAUUUAGUUUGGGGUGCUUCUGACUGUUGAAGUGAGAUAAAACACGGUGAGAUCAAAGGAGCUGUCUGAGGCCUUCAGAAAGAAGAUUGUAGAUGCUUAUGAGUCUGGUAAGAGAUUUCAGAAGAUCUCAAAAGAAUAUAAAAUCAACCAUUCUACUGUCUGGUAAAUAGUCUAAAAGUGAAGGACUUUCAAAACAACUGCCAACAUGCCCUGGUCUGGCCGUCCAAUUAAGUUCACCCUGAGAGCAGACCGCAAGAUGCUAAAAGAAGUCUCCAAAGACCCUAAAUUGUCAUCACGGGACCUACAGCAGGCUGUUGCUACUGUUGAUGUGAAAGUGCAUGCCUCUAGAAUCAGAUACUUCACAAGUAUAACCUUCAUGGGAGGUGUGCGAGGAGGAAACCUAUACUCUCCAAGAAGAACAUGAAGGCCAAGCUGAGUUUGCCAGAGGGAAUGUAGUAGACAAAGACCAAGACUUGUGGAAUAAUGUUCUUUGAACAGAUAAAUCCAAAAUUGAAUUAUUUGGACACCAGAACAUAGGAAAUGUUUGGUGUAAACACAAUACAGCAUUCCAGGAAAGGAACCUGAUACAAUCUGUAAAGCAUCGAGGUUGAAGUGUCAUGGUUUGGGGAUGCGUUGCUGCAGCAGGACUUGGCCAGCUCACCAUCAUAGAAUCCACCGUGAAUGCUAUCGCGUAUCAUAGGGUGCUUGAGGAACAUGUGAGAUCAUCUGUGAAAAAAAUAAGCUGAAGCAAAACUGGACUCUGCAACAUGACAAUGACCCAAAACAUACUAGUAAAUCCACCAAAGACUGGCUGAAAAUGAAGAAAUUGAGAGUCCUAGAAGGCUGAGUCAAAGCCCAGAUCUUAAUCCUAUUGAGAUGCCUUGGGGUGACUUGAAACGGGCUGUACGUGCAAAGAAACUCCUCAAGUGGGGCAAACUUUCUUCAGAACGAUGUCAAAGACUAGUAGAUGCCUACAAAAAGCGUCUCACUGAAGUUAUUUCAGCCAAAGGGGGUAACACUAGCUAUUAGGUGGUAGGGUGACCUAACUUUUUCUUCAGUUAGAAUAUGCAUUUUUGUUGAUAUAUUUGGUUUAAUGAGUAGAACAAUGUUAAUUUUUGUUGCUUACCUGCAAUUAAAUCCCUCUUUUCCAGAGAUAAAGAAAAACAAGAUCAGACAUUGAUAUUUGAACGUUUCUUAAUAAAGAACUGAAUAUUUAAUGGGAUGUUGUAAUUUUUUUACAUGACUGUAUGUAAAGAAAAAGUUUUUCAAUGCUCAACACAAAAACAUUUUCUAGAUUUAAACAAAAAGAUUAAUAUUAAGAAGAAGAUUAUUUACAAAUUGAAAAGACGGGUAAUAUGAAUGGCAGCAAAAGAGGUCAGAUCAACCUCGUUUAAGGUUUAACUCUUAACGGUUCAAGGUGCAGCGGUGUCAGAUUGCACCGCAUUGUUUGAGCCAAAAUGAUAAUCAUGGGAGACAACUAAGGAAGACAUAAAUAAGACUAGGCCUGUACAAUGUAUCGUUUGACCAUCACAAUCUGUGCAUGCGCAAUAGUCACAUUGCUAGACGUGCAAUUGUUUUUUGUUUGUUUUUUUAACUCAUUUGCUCCCAAAACGUAUAAAUAUGUUCUAUUUUCUAACUGUUUCAGUGUCCCAAAAACGCAUGUAUACGUCUUUUACAUUUUUUUGGACAAGAGGCAUCUCUAGGUUCUGUUGCACCUAAACUGCAAUGCACAAUGCUCAAAACUCAUUUUAAAGCAAUAAAACUGGCCACUGGAGGACACUAGCGCAUUUUGUAAGAACUGAUCUCGGGCCAAGAAAGGAAGUGAAGAAAAAUAGUCAGGAAACGAAGGCUGGAGGGAUCUUGUGAAGACGCGUGAGAAUUUGAAAAAAAUGUGGAGAACGAUCGGAGAAAAAAAAGGCAAACGACACUGGAGGAGUGUUUUGAAAAGAAAACGAAACCAUCGUCAAAGAAGGAUUCAAAAAAAUCUAUCUUGAUGAGACAGCCUGUGAUGGCCGCAACAGCGUCAGGUUCCACACGCGUUCUGCGGAGCUCAAGUUGCGUUACUCCUGAGCCCGAGGUUGAAACCAACGAUGAAGAUGAUGAAGAAAAAAGUGAGACUGAUCUUGAUCCGGACUCAUCAGAUUACUGGGAGCCACCUCAUUCAACCGGGAGCAGCCGAGAGCCGUCCCCGUUGUUAUGUGCACAAAUAGUUCAA